rnacentral:rRNA from 1 species
GACGAACCGUCCAAACGUUAUUCGGAAUUACUGGGCUUAAAGGGUGCGUAGGCGGCGCGGAAAGUUGGGUGUGAAAUCCCUCGGCUCAACCGAGGAACUGCGCCCAAUACUACCGUGCUUGAGGGAGAUAGAGGUGAGCGGAACUUAGGGUGGAGCGGUGAAAUGCGUUGAUAUCCUAAGGAACACCGGUGGCGAAAGCGGCUCACUGGAUCUCUUCUGACGCUGAGGCACGAAAACUAGGGUAGCGAACGGG